UACGGGGGGGAGCAAGCGUUGUUCGGAUUUACUGGGCGUAAAGGGCGCGUAGGCGGUCGUGACAAGUCACUUGUGAAAUCUCCGGGCUUAACUCGGAACGGUCAAGUGAUACUGUCGGACUAGAGUACAGAAGGGGGCAACUGGAAUUCUCGGUGUAGCGGUGAAAUGCGUAGAUAUCGAGAGGAACACCUGCGGCGAAGGCGGGUUGCUGGGCUGAUACUGACGCUGAGGCGCGAAAGCCAGGGGGAGCGAACGGG
rnacentral:rRNA from 1 species